rnacentral:rRNA from 1 species
GACGAACGCUGGCGGCGUGCUUAACACAUGCAAGUCGAACGGAAAGGCCUCUUUCGGGGGGUACUCGAGUGGCGAACGGGUGAGUAACACGUGAGUAACCUGCCCUUGACUUUGGGAUAACUUCAGGAAACUGGGGCUAAUACCGGAUAGGAGCUCCUGCUGCAUGGUGGGGGUUGGAAAGUUUCGGCGGUUGGGGAUGGACUCGCGGCUUAUCAGCUUGUUGGUGGGGUAGUGGCUUACCAAGGCUUUGACGGGUAGCCGGCCUGAGAGGGUGACCGGCCGCAUUGGGACUGAGGUACGGCCCAGACUCCUACGGGAGGAAGCAGUGGGGAAUAUUGCACAAUGGGUGGAAGCCUGAUGCAGCAACGCCGGGUGCGGGAUGACGGCCUUCGGGUUGUAAACCGCUUUCGCUCAUGACGAAGCUUUGUGUGACGGUAGUGGGUAAAGAAGCACCGGCUAACUACGUG